rnacentral:rRNA from 1 species
UACGUAGGGUGCAGGCGUUAAUCGGAAUUACUGGGCGUAAAGCGUGCGCAGGCGGUCUUUUAAGUCAGAUGUGAAAGCCCCGGGCUCAACCUGGGAACUGCAUUUGAAACUGGCGGGCUUGAGUAUGGCAGAGGGGGGUGGAAUUCCGCGUGUAGCAGUGAAAUGCGUAGAGAUGCGGAGGAACACCGAUGGCGAAGGCAGCCCCCUGGGCCAAUACUGACGCUCAGGCACGAAAGCGUGGGGAGCAAACAGG